rnacentral:rRNA from 1 species
AUACGUAGGGUGCAAGCGUUAAUCGGAAUUACUGGGCGUAAAGCGUGCGCAGGCGGUUUUGUAAGACAGUGGUGAAAUCCCCGGGCUCAACCUGGGAACUGCCAUUGUGACUGCAAGGCUGGAGUGCGGCAGAGGGGGAUGGAAUUCCGCGUGUAGCAGUGAAAUGCGUAGAUAUGCGGAGGAACACCGAUGGCGAAGGCAAUCCCCUGGGCCUGUACUGACGCUCAUGCACGAAAGCGUGGGGAGCAAACAGGAUUAGAUACCCUGGUAGUCCACGCCCUAAACGAUGUCAACUGGUUGUUGGGUCUUCAUUGACUCAGUAACGAAGCUAACGCGUGAAGUUGACCGCCUGGGGAGUACGGCCGCAAGGUUGAAACUCAAAUGAAUUGACGGGG